UUAUUUGUAUGUGCGUUUCUUUUCCAAAACCCUAGAGAGCCUCCAUCUCCAUCUCCAUUCUCCAUCUCCAUUCCAAUGAUCAUCUCCUCACAUGUCUUUCCUAAUAAAUUCCAUCUGAGCAUCGUGAAUCCUUCAUUCGUUUCAUUCAAGAUCUAUUAAGCAGCGAUUCUUUCUUUUCUAAAACCCUAGAUCUGAUGAGCCAGUACUGUUAACAGAACUCGUGAAGUUGUUGUCUUGGACUGCUAAAAGCAAUUGUUGUUGACAUGUUGAGUGAUACAAUAAGUAUUUGGUUAGAUAGCUGGGGUUUCUAUGAGUCUAAAGCAUGCCAGUUAGGCCUGUUGCAGAGAACUUUAGGAUUAUGGCAGCUAUAAACGCUCUUAAUGGAAUAUACACAAUGAGAGGUUGUGAACAGCCAUUGAUCGUUCAAUUUGCUGACCCUAAGCGUCCCAGGCCUGGAGAACCAAGAGGAAGUCCUGCAGUAGGUGGUCCUGGGUUUUUGUCCCCGGAUAUCGUCUCCGGGGAUAGACCACCGAACCAUCAUUAUUAAUCAUAGGUUUACAAAGAUAUAAAGGUUGAUGUUACUGUCGGUUCCAGAGUCGCGGAUUCGGGUAUUAAGUCUGACGAUGUUGGAAGCCGUGGAAAUAGUGAUUUGAUGAAAGGAAAUGGAGAUCUUGAUGCAAAAGGAAUUAAUGGACAGAGCCAUGAAGAGAAAAGAUUGGGAGAAGUUAGUCGUGCAACACUAGGGCAUGAUCAGGAUGUACAACUACAAGCACAGAGGGUACUAAUGGAUACGAAGGUUAAAGAGAUGAAAGAUCAGCUGAUAAGGGCCAAGGCUUACUUGAGUUUUGCAGCUAUUAAGAUUACAGGAGGCUCAUGAAAAUCAAAGAGUGGUUUGAUAGAUAUAAAAUAAGUUGAUUGGGAGUUUGAGGAAGAUAAUGAUGAAAUACUUUUAGUUUUGGGGAACAACUAGAAAGGAAGGAGAUGAAAGCUUUUUUAGAUUCUUUAGUAACUCAGGACUCUUCGGCUAGCAGCCAAAACAACGAAUACAUGAGACGAAGAUGUUGAAGAGCCAGCAACUUUCAGUGAAUUUUGUACCGUCUUCUUCUGGUGGGUUUUAAGGUUGUGCCGUUGGCGACAUUUCAUGUAGGUAUUAUACUAUUAUUGGUUUGGUUUUCUAAGCCUAUGAAAGAGGCUUUAUUUAAAAAAAGACUAUUUUUAAGGUAUGAUGUAGUUGAUGCUUUAUCCCUAUGCAAAUUUUAAGUUUUUUCUAAUGUAACGUCACAAAUGCGAUCCGUUGCUUUUUUUUUCAUUUGCUUGUGUUAUGAACAAAGAUUAAAAUCUUUGGACAAAAAAUGUUCCUGCACGUACUUAAAUUACUCAUUUUGAGCCAACCUUAGGGAUGAGCAAAUGGUACUAAAACCGAACCGGUACUGUACCGGGUCAUUUUCGGUACCCAUUUAUUAUGUUUUUUGGAACGGUACUUUCGGUUCGGUUAAGUACGGAUCUGUACCGGUAAUUUGGGUUGAUUUACCUUCGAGUACCAUACCAAACAAUUUCGGUACAGAUGGCUAAUUUUUAUUGAUUUUCAGAAUCGUACUUUCGGUACCGGUACGUUACCGAGCUCAUCCCUACCCAACCAGUUUGACGUGCUAUCGUACUGGAUAUACUAUUUGUUAUAAAAGACCCUUUCUUUCGGUUUUUAUCUCUUUUCGAUGUUGUUUUUGCUGCUGUUUGGCAACUUCUUGCUGUUUUUUUUUUUUUACAUUUUUUUGUUGUUUAUCUAUCUUUGUUUAAAGCUACAUCAUUUACCAGCAUGGCUAAGCAAGUGAUCGUCUUGACUCUUCAGUACCAGCCUUCUUAAUACCUCACCACCAAAUGACUCGGUUGAAGGGAAAUGGUAAGCCAUCGAAGACAAAAGGUAUGUGUUGCCUCAAUCUCUCAUCAUGCCAUAGGUUGCUGCCUUAGUUUGGGGAGGACACUAAUUACUAACACCUUGCUGGUCAAGGGUUUGUAUUUUUUCUAUUGCCAACACUUCAACUUUGGUUUGGGUUUUAGGUAAACGGGUUGGCACAACAACCUAUUUAAAUUUAAAUAAAAAGAUAUAUACAACUGAUAUCUUCAAGACACCAACAUGUUUACAACCCUUUUAGAUAAACGAAUUAUGUGGUUCGUGUUCGGGUACAUGGCUUAAGCACGUCUAGGUUGCUAACUGAAUUUUAAAUAAUUAUUUCUUUGUUAUCUCCACUUGAUUAAUACGAGCACACUAAUGCUGUCAAAAUUAAACUUCUUUAAGAAACUUGUAUAAUUCAAGGGGCGUUUUAGAUAUCAACUUGGCCAAGUGAGCUUAUGGUAUAGAUUAUACUAGAAAACUCAAAAGACAAGACUCAAUUGCAUCUCAUUUAUGUUAUUGUCAUAUACGAAGGGCAAACUUUUAAAGGUACAAUAUUGGGUUUUUUAAAUGCUUUUUGCUGGUGGAAUUUGAUGGUAAAUGCAUAAUUUGGGUUUUGGGUUCGGGUUGGAUGGUGGAUUGGAGUUUGAAGAUGGAUAAUUAAUAUAAAUAACUUUCUUUAGCCAGGAAAAAAUUGGUGUAUACGAUCAUGCAAAUGGCGAUUUGGAAGUGUCGACAUAACAUACUAUUCAACAAAAAAAAACCGCACUUUGUAAGCUUAACGGAGGAGAUUAAAGGCUUUGGUUUCUUGUGGCUUAUGAACCAGACAAAAGUUCUAGAAUGAACAUGGUAACUUUGGUAUAAAUGUGAUCUAUCGUGUAUGAAAUUGUAGUUUUUUUGAUGGUUGUAGUUUUUUUAGUGAUUGUAUUGUAAUAUCAAACAUUUUUAGUUUGUUGUUGGUA